AUACGGAGGGUGCAAGCGUUAAUCGGAAUUACUGGGCGUAAAGCGUACGUAGGCGGUUCGUUAAGUUAGAUGUGGAAGCCCCGGGCUUAACCUGGGAACUGCAUUUAAAACUGGCGAACUAGAGUUGAGUAGAGGGGAGUGGAAUUUCAGGUGUAGCGGUGAAAUGCGUAGAGAUCUGAAGGAACACCAGUGGCGAAGGCGACUCCCUGGACUCGAACUGACGCUGAGGUACGAAAGCGUGGGUAGCAAACGGGAUUAGAAACCCCAGUAGUCC
rnacentral:rRNA from 1 species